rnacentral:ncRNA from 1 species
CUGAUGGCGGCGUCUGGGUGGAAAUCGGAAUCAAUCGCCCAAUUCCCCUUCGCACCGGAGAAAAGUUCCCGGUAGGGCAGCGCCUAAGUGUCAG